GUAACGUAUAUGCAAACAGACACGUCCCGUUUAUUUCAUUGUUUGCACUGCGGAGACUCUCCGCCGCUCUCCACGCCUUUGUUGACCUACCGCCAGCAAAGUUGUGUGGUUAUAAAUAGAUAGAGGCAGCUGAUUAAGAAGCGGGGGGAGUGACUUUCUCUGGGCUCUUACGGAUCAAUCACCGCUAAGGGGAUGCAGGUUGAGGGGAAGGAAGAAAGUAAAUCGCGGGGCAGUUUGACUAAGUGAAACCCAAUUCCUUCGCCCCAAAGCUGUGGUGGCCAGACGUGCGCGACCCUCUAGACCCAAAACAGUUUUAGUCAGCAACGGGUCAUCAGCAGGACCGAGAAGACUGGGUGGGAGGUCUGGCCGGUCCGAAAUAGGGAAGAGGUGCGGGCUCAUCACCGAGGCGGUAGGGCUCGGCUUAUGGUCUAGAGCCUUGAGGCGCUCCCGCGUGAGCCCCGCUGCUUCCAGUCCGCCCUCGCCUGGCCCGGCGCGGGUCGCUCCCUCCUCCCCGUCCUGUUCCGCACUUUACCCAGCAGGGGUCCCAGGUCGAGCAGGGCCAACCCUGCUCGCGCAGCGCCGGACCCCUCCCCGCUGCCCGGGGUGCGGCGGCUUCCCUCCGCCCAAACGGGGGGUGUCUCCUCCAUCACCCCUGCCGCGGCUUCCCAGUCGGAGUCGCGCUGCGGGGCGAGGGAGGCUCGCUCCUCCGCGGCCGGGGCCUGGGGGUGCCAGUGCGCCCCCGAGUGAGCGGGUAGGGAAGCCGAAGAGCCGCCGACCCGCUGCGCGCCCUCCAGUCCCGGGCGGCGCCGGGACCCAGAGCGGCCCCAGCCCGCGCCCCAGCGGGGACGCGAACGGCGUCUCGGGACGGCACCUCGCCGGGGCCUUGCCCUGUCCCGCCGCGUCGCGGCCUCUCCGCACCCCACGUCCCGGGAGCCGACCGGGAGACUCUCACGGCGGAGUUCCACAGACCUCGUUAGGUUAAAGGAACCUCGCCUUGCCCCCCACUAAUCGGCUAGAGAGGGAGGCCGGCGAAACAAAAGCCGUAGAGGAAAAUUAAGCGACUUCCCCCUCGGCGGGGAACUUGGAGGUCGGGGAAGGUGUGAUUAUGAAAAUAAACAAGGGAAGUGAGGGAAAUAUAACCAAGUGGAAAAAGGAAAUGGAGUGCAAAUUGAGAACAUAAUCCAGAAUUCGUAAAAGUGGUAUGGAUAAAGAAGGUCAAAAUGGUCUCUGAUGAAAAGAAACUUUUAAAAUGCUUGGAAAAGUUAAUGAAUUAGAUUUCCCUGCACUUGAAGAUAUUAGGAUUGGGAGAUCAAGACUCCCAUCAGCCAAAUCAAGAAUAUUCACAAUUGACAGGAAAACUCAAAGUUUCUUUUUCCCCACCAGAGAAAUGUCUCCCACCCCCAUAGCUAAACAGUGGGCAGCCUUUUGAGUCUAGAAAGGUCAGUAACAGGAUUUUAUUUUGAUACAUGAUAUGACCUAAUUAUUUCACAUGUUGCAGAAAUCCGAAGUGGGUAGAGCGUGCCUUUUUUUUUUCUUUGAGGCAAGUUUUUGAAUCGUGCGCUGGAGGUGAAAAAGAAAUGAUUUCAGAAUAGUGAACAUUUACAAAUAAAAAUGUGUCUACUACGCAAUGAGGAAUUUUAAAUUUGCAGUGAAAGUCUGACAUCUGGUGGUCAGAAAGAGGAGCAUCAGAAGAGGAGGCUAUUGUAAAAUUUCUAUUGGCUUUCAUAAAAUAAAAACCAA
rnacentral:lncRNA from 10 species